ACUUAAAUUGAAGAGUUUGAUCAUGGCUCAGAUUGAACGCUGGCGGCAGGCCUAACACAUGCAAGUCGAACGGUAACAGGAAGCAGCUUGCUGCUUCGCUGACGAGUGGCGGACGGGUGAGUAAUGUCUGGGAAACUGCCCGAUGGAGGGGGAUAACUACUGGAAACGGUAGCUAAUACCGCAUAAUGUCGCAAGACCAAAGAGGGGGACCUUCGGGCCUCUUG
rnacentral:rRNA from 1 species